rnacentral:rRNA from 1 species
UACGUAGGGUGCAAGCGUUGUCCGGAAUUAUUGGGCGUAAAGAGCUCGUAGGCGGUUUGUCGCGUCUGCUGUGAAAACUCAGGGCUUAACCCUGAGCCUGCAGUGGGUACGGGCAGACUAGAGUGUGGUAGGGGAGAUCGGAAUUCCUGGUGUAGCGGUGGAAUGCGCAGAUAUCAGGAGGAAUACCGGUGGCGAAGGCGGCAUCCUGGACCGACAUCGACGCUGAGGAGCGAAAGCUAGGGGAGCAAACGGG